rnacentral:rRNA from 1 species
GAGUUUGAUCAUGGCUCAGAUUGAACGCUGGCGGCAUGCCUUACACAUGCAAGUCGAACGGCAGCAUGAUCUAGCUUGCUAGAUUGAUGGCGAGUGGCGAACGGGUGAGUAAUACAUCGGAACGUGCCCUGUAGUGGGGGAUAACUAGUCGAAAGAUUAGCUAAUACCGCAUACGACCUGAGGGUGAAAGUGGGGACCGCAAGGCCUCAUGCUAUAGGAGCGGCCGAUGUCUGAUUAGCUAGUUGGUGGGGUAAAGGCCCACCAAGGCGACGAUCAGUAGCUGGUCUGAGAGGACGAUCAGCCACACUGGGACUGAGACACGGCCCAGACUCCUACGGGGGGCAGCAGUGGGGAAUUUUGGACAAUGGGCGAAAGCCUGAUCCAGCAAUGCCGCGUGUGUGAAGAAGGCCUUCGG